rnacentral:rRNA from 1 species
CCAAUAGCGUAUAUUAAAGUUGUUGCAGUUAAAAAGCUCGUAGUUGAAUUUCGGGAUCAAUUAAUUGGUCGUGCCUCCGGUACGUACUGGUUUUUAUUGGUUCCUCCCUUCUGACGAACCAUGAUGUCAUUAAUUUGGUGUCGUGGAGAAUCAGGACUGUUACUUUGAAAAAAUUAGAGUGUUUAAAGCAAGCCUAAGCUUGAAUACAUUAGCAUGGAAU